rnacentral:lncRNA from 1 species
AUCAAUUACACUGAACCUAAGCUGGGUUAUACACGUGACAGCCCUGGUUUCCUGAGGUUUGUGAGGGUUUUAUGUGGCAUGUCUUCUGAUGAAAGGAAAGCAUUCUUGCAGUUUACCACUGGUUGUUCAACUCUACCCCCAGGUGGACUGGCUAACCUGCAUCCCAGGCUCACGGUUGUACGCAAGGUUGAUGCUACUGAUGCAAGCUAUCCAUCAGUCAAUACAUGUGUGCAUUACCUUAAGUUGCCUGAAUAUUCUUCCGAGGAGAUCAUGAGAGAGCGCCUGCUAGCUGCUACAAUGGAGAAAGGCUUUCAUCUCAAUUGAGCUUUGAAGUGCAAUGGGAGACAUCAGAGACUUUAAAAAUACUAGUGAAGCCUCUUGUGUUUGUGUGCAGAGAAGUAUAUGAUCCACCAUGCUAAUGACACUUGCCUUUUUUUCCACCAUUAAGGCUUUAAGAACAUGUGGAAUAAGUUUUUUAGCUGCUAAUGACAAAACAAAUCCUGUAACUACCCAGCCAGCAAGUAUAUAGCACAGAACACUGUGUUACUUUACAAGGGCUUAUGUGACUGGAAUAAGGUGGUCCCACUUGACUGUUCCAAAGAGCAGCUUCUCAGAUCUUCAGUGUUCACUGGUAAAUUUCUAACAGUGUAUUUGUGUAAAGUUUGUCAUUUCAUACUCCAUACACUACAGUUGCUGUCACUGAUCCCUGUUUUGCUGGCUUUUAAGCUACUUGGUCAAAAAUCCUGCUUCCUUAAAACAUAGAGAAUUAAUGAGCAUCUCAAGCUUUUUCUUUUCCUUUUUAAUGAUGCCUGCACUAUCAAGAGUAUUCUAGUGUUCUCUCUUUGUUUGGCAUAUAAUCAUGCACCAAACUUUUUAUUUCUUUAAGGUGGGAGUAUAUUUUUAUUUCCUAAAUGCCAUACUAUGAAGAUCAAAGUCUUAAGUGUGUUUGCAGCUCAAAAAUAAAGAUGUAUUAAGGGGGGAAAACCUGGUCUAAGUGCAAGGCACACUUACAGCGAGUUUUACUUUCGGUUGUAUUUUCUUUGUAUAUUAUAAACAUUUAUUUAACUUGUUGCCGUUUGAAGUAAAAAAUUUCCAAAAUGUAUGCUCAACAAUAAUCAUUAAAAUGUUUGCAGCGU